rnacentral:rRNA from 1 species
CUUCCGCCGGCGACCGGCGCACGGGUGAGUAACACGUAUGCAACCUGCCCCUGUCAGGGGGACAACCCGCCGAAAGGCGGGCUAAACCCGCGUACAUGCCACCGGGGCAUCCCGGAGGCAGGAAAGGCUUCGGCCGGACAGGGAUGGGCAUGCGUCGCAUUAGUUAGUUGGCGGUGUAACGGACCACCAAGACGACGAUGCGUAGGGGUUCUGAGAGGAAGGUCCCCCACACUGGUACUGAGACACGGACCAGACUCCUACGGGAGGCAGCAG